UACGAAGGGGGCUAGCGUUGCUCGGAAUUACUGGGCGUAAAGCGCACGUAGGCGGCUUGUUAAGUCAGGGGUGAAAUCCUGGAGCUCAACUCCAGAACUGCCUUUGAUACUGGCGAGCUUGAGUUCGGGAGAGGUGAGUGGAACUGCGAGUGUAGAGGUGAAAUUCGUAGAUAUUCGCAAGAACACCAGUGGCGAAGGCGGCUCACUGGCCCGAUACUGACGCUGAUGCACGAAA
rnacentral:rRNA from 1 species